rnacentral:rRNA from 1 species
UACGUAGGGUGCAAGCGUUAAUCGGAAUUACUGGGCGUAAAGCGUGCGCAGGCGGUUAUGCAAGACAGAUGUGAAAUCCCCGGGCUCAACCUGGGAACUGCAUUUGUGACUGCAUGGCUAGAGUACGGUAGAGGGGGAUGGAAUUCCGCGUGUAGCAGUGAAAUGCGUAGAUAUGCGGGGGAACACCGAUGGCGAAGGCAAUCCCCUGGACCUGUACUGACGCUCAUGCACGAAAGCGUGGGGAGCAAACAGG